UACGAAGGGGGCUAGCGUUGCUCGGAAUCACUGGGCGUAAAGCGCACGUAGGCGGCUUUUUAAGUCAGGGGUGAAAUCCUGGAGCUCAACUCCAGAACUGCCUUUGAUACUGAGAAGCUUGAGUCCGGGAGAGGUGAGUGGAACUGCGAGUGUAGAGGUGAAAUUCGUAGAUAUUCGCAAGAACACCAGUGGCAAAGGCGGCUCACUGGCCCGGUACUGACGCUGAGGUGCGAAAGCGUGGGGAGCGAACAGG
rnacentral:rRNA from 1 species